rnacentral:rRNA from 1 species
GACUGAGCGGCGGACGGGUGAGUAACGCGUGGGUAACCUGCCUCAUACAGGGGGAUAACAGUUAGAAAUGACUGCUAAUACCGCAUAAGACCACGGUACCGCAUGGUACAGUGGGAAAAACUCCGGUGGUAUGAGAUGGACCCGCGUCUGAUUAGCUAGUUGGUAAGGUAACGGCUUACCAAGGCGACGAUCAGUAGCCGACCUGAGAGGGUGACCGGCCACAUUGGGACUGAGACACGGCCCAAACUCCUACGGGAGGCAGCAGUGGGGAAUAUUGCACAAUGGGGGAAACCCUGAUGCAGCGACGCCGCGUGAAGGAUGAAGUAUUUCGGUAUGUAAACUUCUAUCAGCAGGGAAGAAAAUGACGGUACCUGACUAAGAAGCCCCGGCUAACUACGUGCCAGCAGCCGUGGUAAUACGUAGGGGGCAAGCGUUAUCCGGAUUUACUGGGUGUAAAGGGAGCGUAGACGGUUAUGUAAGUCUGAUGUGAAAACCCGGGGCUCAACCCCGGGACUGCAUUGGAAACUAUGUAACUAGAGUGUCGGAGAGGUAAGUGGAAUUCCUAGUGUAGCGGUGAAAUGCGUAGAUAUUAGGAGGAACACCAGUGGCGAAGGCGGCUUACUGGACGAU